AGUUAGAAGACUGAUGACUUCUGAUGUCUGUAAGAAUAAAGAUGCAUGGAAAUAUUUAAAGGAAGGAAAGAGUGAGUGAUUGAAAAUAGGCCUGACCCUAACCUUUGCAGGGUCCAAGGCAGGCAUAUACAUGGAGGUCCGAAGGCCAGAGCUGGAUUUAGAAUUCUCAGAUUCCUUGGAGUUCUGCUUUGGAUAUGGCACUUGAAUGUCGAAUGGGUUCACCACAUGCAGCCACGCUGCUCUUCCUCUCGGGAUGCUUGGAGGACUGCACCCUAUCCCAGCCUGGCUUAGUUCCUGCCUUGGCUCCUCUAAGCCCAGUCCCUGGACCUGGCUUCUGCCCCGUUGCCUUAGCUCAUGUUUGUAAGAUAAAUUCUAGCCGAAAUAAGCAGGCGAUGAGAGGCAACAAAGGGCCAGGCAGUUUAUUUGAGCGCAAUUUCCAGGUGAUGUUCCUCAGUCUGGGUAUUACAGGCUGGGGAAGUCAC